rnacentral:rRNA from 1 species
CGUAGGGAGGCAGAACACUUAUGCUUCUGCCCUCAACAGGAAUAUAGCUCGGGGAAACUCGCAUUAACCCUCCAUAACAUUGCGAGGUGGCAUCACCGCUCAAUUAAAACUCAAGUGGUUGAGGAUGAGCAUGCCCAUGAUUAGUUAGUUGGUAGGGUAACGGCCUACCAAGACGAUGAUCAUUAGGGGAACUGAGAGGUUGAUCCCCCACACUGGCACUGAAUACGGGCCAUACUCCUACGGGAGGCAGCAGUAGGGAAUAUUGGUCAAUGGGUGAGAGCCUGAACCAGCCAUGCCGCGUGCAGGAAGACGGCCUUCUGUGUUGUUAUUCUGCUUUUAUCUGGGGGAUAAAAAGGUCUUGCGAGACCAAUUGAAGGUACCAGAUGAAUAAGCGCCGGCUAACUACGUGCCAGCAGCCGCGGUAAUAAA